UACGGGGGGUGCGAGCGUUGUCCGGAAUCACUGGGCGUAAAGGGCGCGUAGGUGGCUGUGUAAGUUUGCGGUGAAAGCCCGGGGCUCAACCCCGGGUCUGCCGUGAAUACUGCACGGCUUGAGUACUGUAGAGGCAGGUAGAAUAUCGGGUGUAGCGGUGGAAUGCGUAGAGAUCCGAUAGAAGACCGGUGGCGAAGGCGGCCUGCUGGGCAGUAACUGACACUGAGGCGCGACAGCGUGGGGAGCAAACAGG
rnacentral:rRNA from 1 species